rnacentral:rRNA from 1 species
GAUGAACGCUGGCGGCGUGCCUAAUACAUGCAAGUCGAGCGAACAGAUGAGGAGCUUGCUCCUCUGACGUUAGCGGCGGACGGGUGAGUAACACGUGGAUAACCUACCUAUAAGACUGGGAUAACUUCGGGAAACCGGAGCUAAUACCGGAUAAUAUAUUGAACCGCAUGGUUCAAUAGUGAAAGACGGUUUUGCUGUCACUUAUAGAUGGAUCCGCGCCGCAUUAGCUAGUUGGUAAGGUAACGGCUUACCAAGGCAACGAUGCGUAGCCGACCUGAGAGGGGGCACGGCCACACUGGAAUGGACACCCGGUCCCGUCCCCAGGGGGGGGCAAGAGGAGGGAAUCUUCCGAAAGGGGGAAAACCCUGGAGGACCACCCCCGGGGGAGGUAUAAAGUUUUUCGGUCUGUAAAACUCUGUUUUUAGGGAAAAACAAAUUGGAAAAAAAAUAUCCCGGUUGUGACGGUCCCAAAUCAAAAACCCCCGGCUAACUACG